CAAGUGAGCAUAGUUUAACCAAAA
rnacentral:tRNA from 1 species